rnacentral:rRNA from 1 species
ACGGAGGGUGCAAACGUUGUUCGGAAUCAUUGGGCGUAAAGCGCGCGUAGGCGGCCUGUUAGGUCGGGUGUGAAAUCCCAGAGCUCAACUCUGGAAUUGCGCUCGAAACCGGCAGGCUUGAGUCCCGGAGGGAGAAGUGGAAUUCCUGGUGUAGGGGUGAAAUCCGUAGAUAUCAGGAGGAACACCGGCGGCGAAGGCGACUUCUUGGCCGAGGACUGACGCUGAGGUGCGAAAGCGUGGGUAGCAAACAGG